rnacentral:rRNA from 1 species
UACGUAGGGGGCAAGCGUUGUCCGGAUUUAUUGGGCGUAAAGAGCGUGUAGGCGGCCUGGUAGGUCAGUUGUGAAAACUCGGGGCUUAACCCCGGGCCUGCAGUGGGUACGGGCAGACUAGAGUGCGGUAGGGGAGACUGGAAUUCCUGGUGUAGCGGUGAAAUGCGCAGAUAUCAGGAGGAACACCGGUGGCGAAGGCGGGUCUCUGGGCCGUAACUGACGCUGAGGAGCGAAAGCGUGGGGAGCGAACAGG